CAGAGCUCUGCAGCCAUCCCUACCAGCAAGUUCCUGCCCCUGUCAGUUAAAAGCCUGUUUACCUUUGAACUCAGUGGGAACAAGAACCAGGCCCUUGUGCAACUGUGGGAAAUAAUUGACUGCAGUAACAUUUCCACAGCCCUGUGAGCUGAUUUGAACCAGAUUACUCAGGAAACUCAAAAACCCGAUGCGAGGUUUUUAUGAUGGAUUUUUCCAAGGCAAAAAUCUAUGGACUGGCUUCAUACCACCAGCACAGUUUAGGUUUUCCAUCGUGAGACUGAUGCUACCCUUGAGCCUGAAAAUGGCUGGCAAGAGGCUUCUGGGUGCCCAGAGGAGACUGUCACAGCAGUGCCUGUGGGGAGAUGCUGGAGUCACUGAGGCAGAGCAAGUCCUUCUCUGAGCCAACUGAUCCUUGGCAGGUUGCAAACAGAGCAAAACUAAAAGUGGCAAAUGCACUAUUUCUGUGGAUGGCAGACAGACCAGAGAGCAAUUACACUCCCCAGUGUGGAACAUCUCACAUCAACAAGGCUCACUUUGGUGCUGGGGAUUCAGUGGGAUACAGCUCCAGUGGGCUCUGGCACAGACCCUAAAUAUAGAACAUUACAUGACCUUAAUGUUGCUUUCGAAAAUAGACUGCUGAUACUGAGACUUACAUAAAGAAAUACAUAAAUUUACUGUUCAACAUGGUGGAUAAAUGCCCUGUGGCAAACAUCUAUUAGAGAAGUAGAAUGUAAUUAAGGUUACUUAAUGCUGGGAAAGUAAACAUUACUUGG